GAUGAACGCUGGCGGCGUGCCUAAUACAUGCAAGUCGAGCGAACGGACGAGAAGCUUGCUUCUCUGAUGUUAGCGGCGGACGGGUGAGUAACACGUGGAUAACCUACCUAUAAGACUGGGAUAACUUCGGGAAACCGUAGCUAAUACCGGAUAAUAUUUUGAACCGCAUGGUUCAAAAGUGAAAGACGGUCUUGCUGUCACUUAUAGAUGGAUCCGCGCUGCAUUAGCUAGUUGGUAAGGUAACGGCUUACCAAGGCAACGAUGCAUAGCCGACCUGAGAGGGUGAUCGGCCACCCUGGAACUGAGACACGGUCCAGACUCCUACGGGAGGCAGCAGUAGGGAAUCUUACGCAAUGGGCGAAAGCCUGACGGAGCAACGCCGCGUGAGUGAUGAAGGUCUUCGGAUCGUAAAACUCUGUUAUUAGGGAAGAACAUAUGUGUAAGUAACUGUGCACAUCUUGACGGUACCUAAUCAGAAAGCAACGGCUAACUACGUG
rnacentral:rRNA from 1 species